GGUUAAGCGACUAAGCGUACACGGUGGAUGCCCUGGCAGUCAGAGGCGAUGAAGGACGUGCUAAUCUGCGAAAAGCGUCGGUAAGGUGAUAUGAACCGUUAUAACCGGCGAUGUCCGAAUGGGGAAACCCAGUGCAAUUCGUUGCACUAUCGUUAACUGAAUACAUAGGUUAACGAGGCGAACCGGGGGAACUGAAACAUCUAAGUACCCCGAGGAAAAGAAAUCAACCGAGAUUCCCCCAGUAGCGGCGAGCGAACGGGGAGCAGCCCAGAGUCUGAAUCAGCUUGUGUGUUAGUGGAACGGUCUGGAAAGUCCGACGGUACAGGGUGAUAGUCCCGUACACCAAAAUGCACAGGCUGUGAACUCGAAGAGUAGGGCGGGACACGUGGUAUCCUGUCUGAAUAUGGGGGGACCAUCCUCCAAGGCUAAAUACUCCUGACUGACCGAUAGUGAACCAGUACCGUGAGGGAAAGGCGAAAAGAACCCCGGCGAGGGGAGUGAAAAAGAACCUGAAACCGUGUACGUACAAGCAGUGGGAGCACCUUCGGGUGUGACUGCGUACCUUUUGUAUAAUGGGUCAGCGACUUAUAUUCUGUAGCAAGGUUAACCGUAUAGGGGAGCCGCAGGGAAACCGAGUCUUAACUGGGCGUUAAGUUGCAGGGUAUAGACCCGAAACCCGGUGAUCUAGCCAUGGGCAGGUUGAAGGUUGGGUAACACUAACUGGAGGACCGAACCGACUAAUGUUGAAAAAUUAGCGGAUGACUUGUGGCUGGGGGUGAAAGGCCAAUCAAACCGGGAGAUAGCUGGUUCUCCCCGAAAGCUAUUUAGGUAGCGCCUCGUGAACUCAUCUUCGGGGGUAGAGCACUGUUUCGGCUAGGGGUCAUCCCGACUUACCAACCCGAUGCAAACUACGAAUACCGAAGAAUGUUAUCACGGGAGACACACGGCGGGUGCUAACGUCCGUCGUGAAGAGGGAAACAACCCAGACCGCCAGCUAAGGUCCCAAAGUCAUGGUUAAGUGGGAAACGAUGUGGGAAGGCACAGACAGCCAGGAUGUUGGCUUAGAAGCAGCCAUCAUUUAAAGAAAGCGUAAUAGCUCACUGGUCGAGUCGGCCUGCGCGGAAGAUGUAACGGGGCUAAACCAUGCACCGAAGCUGCGGCAGCGACACUAUGUGUUGUUGGGUAGGGGAGCGUUCUGUAAGCCUGCGAAGGUGUGCUGUGAGGCAUGCUGGAGGUAUCAGAAGUGCGAAUGCUGACAUAAGUAACGAUAAAGCGGGUGAAAAGCCCGCUCGCCGGAAGACCAAGGGUUCCUGUCCAACGUUAAUCGGGGCAGGGUGAGUCGACCCCUAAGGCGAGGCCGAAAGGCGUAGUCGAUGGGAAACAGGUUAAUAUUCCUGUACUUGGUGUUACUGCGAAGGGGGGACGGAGAAGGCUAUGUUAGCCGGGCGACGGUUGUCCCGGUUUAAGCAUGUAGGCUGAUUGUCCAGGCAAAUCCGGAUAAUCAAGGCUGAGGUGUGAUGACGAGGCACUACGGUGCUGAAGUAACAAAUGCCCUGCUUCCAGGAAAAGCCUCUAAGCAUCAGGUAACAUCAAAUCGUACCCCAAACCGACACAGGUGGUCAGGUAGAGAAUACCAAGGCGCUUGAGAGAACUCGGGUGAAGGAACUAGGCAAAAUGGUGCCGUAACUUCGGGAGAAGGCACGCUGGUGUGUAGGUGAAGUCCCUGCGGAUGGAGCUGAGACCAGUCGAAGAUACCAGCUGGCUGCAACUGUUUAUUAAAAACACAGCACUGUGCAAACACGAAAGUGGACGUAUACGGUGUGACGCCUGCCCGGUGCCGGAAGGUUAAUUGAUGGGGUUAUCCGUAAGGAGAAGCUCUUGAUCGAAGCCCCGGUAAACGGCGGCCGUAACUAUAACGGUCCUAAGGUAGCGAAAUUCCUUGUCGGGUAAGUUCCGACCUGCACGAAUGGCGUAAUGAUGGCCAGGCUGUCUCCACCCGAGACUCAGUGAAAUUGAACUCGCUGUGAAGAUGCAGUGUACCCGCGGCAAGACGGAAAGACCCCGUGAACCUUUACUAUAGCUUGACACUGAACAUUGAGCCUUGAUGUGUAGGAUAGGUGGGAGGCUUUGAAGCGUGGACGCCAGUCUGCGUGGAGCCAACCUUGAAAUACCACCCUUUAAUGUUUGAUGUUCUAACGUUGGCCCCUGACCGGGGUUGCGGACAGUGUCUGGUGGGUAGUUUGACUGGGGCGGUCUCCUCCCAAAGCGUAACGGAGGAGCACGAAGGUUAGCUAAUCCUGGUCGGACAUCAGGAGGUUAGUGCAAUGGCAUAAGCUAGCUUGACUGCGAGCGUGACGGCGCGAGCAGGUGCGAAAGCAGGUCAUAGUGAUCCGGUGGUUCUGAAUGGAAGGGCCAUCGCUCAACGGAUAAAAGGUACUCCGGGGAUAACAGGCUGAUACCGCCCAAGAGUUCAUAUCGACGGCGGUGUUUGGCACCUCGAUGUCGGCUCAUCACAUCCUGGGGCUGAAGUAGGUCCCAAGGGUAUGGCUGUUCGCCAUUUAAAGUGGUACGCGAGCUGGGUUUAGAACGUCGUGAGACAGUUCGGUCCCUAUCUGCCGUGGGCGCUGGAGAAUUGAGGGGGGCUGCUCCUAGUACGAGAGGACCGGAGUGGACGCAUCACUGGUGUUCGGGUUGUCAUGCCAAUGGCACUGCCCGGUAGCUAAAUGCGGAAGAGAUAAGUGCUGAAAGCAUCUAAGCACGAAACUUGCCCCGAGAUGAGUUCUCCCUGAGACUUUAAGUCUCCUGAAGGAACGUUAAAGACGAUGACGUUGAUAGGCCGGGUGUGUAAGCGCAGCGAUGCGUUGAGCUAACCGGUACUAAUGAACCGUGAGGCUUAACCUU
rnacentral:rRNA from 1 species